UCUGCAACUGAUUCUAGAAACACAUUCAUGGCAUACAGCAUAAAAACACCUCGAGUUGUACUAUAUUCUCAUCGAGUUUUUCAAUGAAUGCUCUGUUUGUUUAAUGGAACUCAACAAGUAAAACAAAAAGGCGAAAUAGGAGAAAGAAGCGGCAGUCGUUUCCGUUAGAGCGGCUGGUUUCUUGCUUGAAAUCGUCGCCGAAAAAGAUUCUGUCGCCGGACAUUGAAGAUUCCUCAGCUGGGUUGGUAAAUUAUAUAGGGAGUGUCCUUCCAAUUUCUUUAGGUCCAUACAUUUUCCUCAAUAUUAGUCUGCAGAACAAUUGUAAAGCUAAAAGCAUGGCGACGGAGCAAAAAGAAGAAGAUCAGCGAGCCACUAGUCCCCAUGCUGUUAGCCUGAAAGGUAAGGUUGAGGAGUACUACAAAAAGAUUAAAGAGAAUGCAGAAACUUACCCGUACGUUUGGGCUUCCUAUAUUACCGUGUACGGUGGUUUUUCCCUAUGGUUGGCAUAUAGAUGGAGAAAGCUUCGCAAAACUGAAGACAGGGUGAAAAUCCUUCAAGAGAGAUUACGUAAACUUAAAGAAAGUGAAGAGACUGCAAGCUCAACUACAGCAGUUGAAAAGGCUCCACCUUCUACAGAUAAGAUUGUCAAAUAGAUGCAUGCUGUUUCUACUUAUUUCCAUGAAAGUACAGAAUUGAAGAUUAGUUUCAGUGGGUUAUUGAGGAGAGAAGUUGCUGGAAAAUCAGAAACAAGGUUUUUUUCCAUUAUUAUUGACAAAAUUUGGAACCCUAAUAUGUUUAUUAUCUGCCAUGUUUCACCGUAAUUUGUCAUGCGGUAACGCAAUAUUAUGCUCUGAGUUCCCAGUUGUUUUCUUGAUGCCAGUUUUAGGGAAAUUUUGAACAUUCUCAAUUGCAAGCUUGGGAAGGGGAAUAAAAUUUUGAAUGAUUUUGUUA